CUUACCAGCCAAAAAGAUGAGCCUGUUUCUGGACCCACUUGGGGGAAAAAAAAAUGCGGCCAAUCAGUGCAAGGAUGUCACAAGAUCAUUCAUGAGACAAAGGGGGUUAAAUCCUUCAAGGUGGGCGUGUGAAACAAGGACCCACUCCAUUCAGAAAGAUGCCACGUCUUGUGGGGCUUUUGCAUUGAAGUUUGCUGAAUGCAUCUUGGAUGGGUUGCCUCUGGUGUUUGACACUUCACCAUCCAGUGUCAACAAUAUAAGAGAGGAAAUAGCGGUCUAUCUUCUUAUGAAUACAGAUGACCUGACAGACCUCUGUCAUUUCUGUGGGGAGCACACAGGGGACACUUCGUGGAUCGGGUGUGAGGUGUGUCCAAGAUGGUACCACAAAAGCUGUGUGAAAUACCCCAAAAAGGGAAGGAGACCAUAUGUGUGUGAAGCAUGCCAGUAGUGUGGGUGUGUGUGUGCGUGGCAGUGUGGAAGGGAGAGUGGAUGUCUGUCAUACAUUUGGCUGUUUGCCUGAACAACUGUCCAUAAUAAAUAUAUUUGUUCUCAAAAUUCAUGAAUUCUAUCAUAAUUUAAAGCAAGUUGACACUUUCAACAUCUUGUUCUUAAAAUAGUAAGAUGUCAAAUGAGGUCUUGUCAUUGUGAUAUUAGAGGCAUGAAUGAGUCUUUGGCAAGCAAAAAGGCCG